rnacentral:rRNA from 1 species
UACGUAGGGUGCAGGCGUUAAUCGGAAUUACUGGGCGUAAAGCGUGCGCAGGCGGUUUGCUAAGACAGGUGUGAAAUCCCCGGGCUUAAUCUGGGAACUGCGCUUGUUACUGGCAGGCUUGAGUGUGGCAGAGGGGGGGUGGAAUUCCACGUGUAGCAGUGAAAUGCGUAGAGAUGUGGAGGAACACCGAUGGCGAAGGCAGCCCCCUGGGCUAACACUGACGCCUCAUGCACGAAAGCGUGGGGAGCAAACAGG